UGGCUCAGGACGAACGCUGGCGGCGUGCCUAAUACAUGCAAGUCGAGCGGACAGAUGGGAGCUUGCUCCCUGAUGUUAGCGGCGGACGGGUGAGUAACACGUGGGUAACCUGCCUGUAAGACUGGGAUAACUCCGGGAAACCGGGGCUAAUACCGGAUGGUUGUUUGAACCGCAUGGUUCAAACAUAAAAGGUGGCUUCGGCUACCACUUACAGAUGGACCCGCGGCGCAUUAGCUAGUUGGUGAGGUAACGGCUCACCAAGGCAACGAUGCGUAGCCGACCUGAGAGGGUGAUCGGCCACACUGGGACUGAGACACGGCCCAGACUCCUACGGGAGGCAGCAGUAGGGAAUCUUCCGCAAUGGACGAAAGUCUGACGGAGCAACGCCGCGUGAGUGAUGAAGGUUUUCGGAUCGUAAAGCUCUGUUGUUAGGGAAGAACAAGUACCGUUCGAAUAGGGCGGUACCUUGACGGUACCUAACCAGAAAGCCACGGCUAACUACGUGCCAGCAGCCGCGGUAAUACGUAGGUGGCAAGCGUUGUCCGGAAUUAUUGGGCGUAAAGGGCUCGCAGGCGGUUUCUUAAGUCUGAUGUGAAAGCCCCCGGCUCAACCGGGGAGGGUCAUUGGAAACUGGGGAACUUGAGUGCAGAAGAGGAGAGUGGAAUUCCACGUGUAGCGGUGAAAUGCGUAGAGAUGUGGAGGAACACCAGUGGCGAAGGCGACUCUCUGGUCUGUAACUGACGCUGAGGAGCGAAAGCGUGGGGAGCGAACAGGAUUAGAUACCCUGGUAGUCCACGCCGUAAACGAUG
rnacentral:rRNA from 1 species